rnacentral:rRNA from 1 species
UACAGGAGGCCCGAGCGUUAAUCGGAAUCACUGGGCUUAAAGGGUGCGUAGGCGGACAUGAGGGUGUGCUGUGAAAUCCCUUGGCUCAACCAAGGAAUUGCGGCGCAAACCGCAUGUCUUGAGGCGGGUAGGGGUCGCUGGAACGCUCGGUGGAGCGGUGAAAUGCGUAGAGAUCGAGCGGAACGCCAAUGGUGAAGACAGGCGACUGGGCCCGUCCUGACGCUGAGGCACGAAAGCGUGGGGAGCAAACAGG